rnacentral:rRNA from 1 species
ACACUCCUACGGGAGGCAGCAGUGGGGAAUAUUGCACAAUGGGCGCAAGCCUGAUGCAGCCAUGCCGCGUGUAUGAAGAAGGCCUUCGGGUUGUAAAGUACUUUCAGCGGGGAGGAAGGCGAUAAGGUUAAUAACCUUGUCGAUUGACGUUACCCGCAGAAGAAGCACCGGCUAACUCCGUGCCAGCAGCCGCGGUAAUACGGAGGGUGCAAGCGUUAAUCGGAAUUACUGGGCGUAAAGCGCACGCAGGCGGUCUGUCAAGUCGGAUGUGAAAUCCCCGGGCUCAACCUGGGAACUGCAUUCGAAACUGGCAGGCUAGAGUCUUGUAGAGGGGGGUAGAAUUCCAGGUGUAGCGGUGAAAUGCGUAGAGAUCUGGAGGAAUACCGGUGGCGAAGGCGGCCCCCUGGACAAAGACUGACGCUCAGGUGCGAAAGCGUGGGGAGCAAACAGGAUUAGAAACCCUGGUAGUCCCAUG